rnacentral:rRNA from 1 species
GGUGGAUUAGUGGCGAACGGGUGAGUAACACGUGGGCAAUCUGCCCUUCACUCUGGGACAAGCCCUGGAAACGGGGUCUAAUACCGGAUAACACUCUGUCCCGCAUGGGACGGGGUUGAAAGCUCCGGCGGUGAAGGAUGAGCCCGCGGCCUAUCAGCUUGUUGGUGGGGUGAUGGCCUACCAAGGCGACGACGGGUAGCCGGCCUGAGAGGGCGACCGGCCACACUGGGACUGAGACACGGCCCAGACUCCUACGGGAGGCAGCAGUGGGGAAUAUUGCACAAUGGGCGAAAGCCUGAUGCAGCGACGCCGCGUGAGGGAUGACGGCCUUCGGGUUGUAAACCUCUUUCAGCAGGGAAGAAGCGAGAGUGACGGUACCUGCAGAAGAAGCGCCGGCUAACUACGUGCCAGCAGCCGCGGUAAUACGUAGGGCGCAAGCGUUGUCCGGAAUUAUUGGGCGUAAAGAGCUCGUAGGCGGCUUGUUGCGUCGGUUGUGAAAGCCCGGGGCUUAACCCCGGGUCUGCAGUCGAUACGGGCAGGCUAGAGUGUGGUAGGGGAGAUCGGAAUUCCUGGUGUAGCGGUGAAAUGCGCAGAUAUCAGGAGGAACACCGGUGGCGAAGGCGGAUCUCUGGGCCAUUACUGACGCUGAGGAGCGAAAGCGUGGGGAGCGAACAGGAUUAGAUACCCUGGUAGUCCACGCCGUAAACGUUGGGAACUAGGUGUUGGCGACAUUCCACGUCGUCGGUGCCGCAGCUAACGC